UUAAGCGACUAAGCGUACACGGUGGAUGCCCUGGCAGUCAGAGGCGAUGAAGGACGUGCUAAUCUGCGAUAAGCGCCGGUAAGGUGAUAUGAACCGUUAUAACCGGCGAUUUCCGAAUGGGGAAACCCAGUGUGAUUCGUCACACUAUCAUUAACUGAAUCCAUAGGUUAAUGAGGCGAACCGGGGGAACUGAAACAUCUAAGUACCCCGAGGAAAAGAAAUCAACCGAGAUUCCCCCAGUAGCGGCGAGCGAACGGGGAGGAGCCCAGAGCCUGAAUCAGCAUGUGUGUUAGUGGAAGCGUCUGGAAAGGCGCGCGAUACAGGGUGACAGCCCCGUACACAAAAGCGCAUGUGCUGUGAGCUCGAUGAGUAGGGCGGGACACGUGGUAUCCUGUCUGAAUAUGGGGGGACCAUCCUCCAAGGCUAAAUACUCCUGACUGACCGAUAGUGAACCAGUACCGUGAGGGAAAGGCGAAAAGAACCCCGGCGAGGGGAGUGAAAAAGAACCUGAAACCGUGUACGUACAAGCAGUGGGAGCACAGGUUUACCUGUGUGACUGCGUACCUUUUGUAUAAUGGGUCAGCGACUUAUAUUCUGUAGCAAG
rnacentral:rRNA from 1 species